GAUGAACGCUAGCGGCAGGCCUAAUACAUGCAAGUCGGACGGGAUCUAUUUUAAAGCUUGCUUUAUAAUAGUGAGAGUGGCGCACGGGUGCGUAACGCGUGAGCAACCUACCCAUAUCAGGGGGAUAGCCCGGAGAAAUUCGGAUUAAUACCGCAUAAUACAGUAAUUUCGCAUGAUAGUGCUGUUAAAUAUUUAUAGGAUAUGGAUGGGCUCGCGUGACAUUAGCUAGUUGGUAAGGUAACGGCUUACCAAGGCAACGAUGUCUAGGGGCUCUGAGAGGAGAAUCCCCCACACUGGUACUGAGACACGGACCAGACUCCUACGGGAGGCAGCAGUAAGGAAUAUUGGUCAAUGGAGGGAACUCUGAACCAGCCAUGCCGCGUGCAGGAUGACUGCCCUAUGGGUUGUAAACUGCUUUUAUCUGGGAAUAAACCUGAGUACGUGUACUUAGCUGAAUGUACCAGAGGAAUAAGGAUCGGCUAACUUCGUGCCAGCAGCCGCGGUAA
rnacentral:rRNA from 1 species